rnacentral:rRNA from 1 species
GAUGAACACUGGCGGCGUGCCUAAUACAUGCAAGUCGAGCGAACAGACGAGGAGCUUGCUCCUCUGACGUUAGCGGCGGACGGGUGAGUAACACGUGGAUAACCUACCUAUAAGACUGGGAUAACUUCGGGAAACCGGAGCUAAUACCGGAUAAUAUAUUGAACCGCAUGGUUCAAUAGUGAAAGACGGUUUUGCUGUCACUCAUAGAUGGAUCCGCGCCGCAUUAGCUAGUUGGUAAGGUAACGGCUUACCAAGGCAACGAUGCGUAGCCGACCUGAGAGGGUGAUCGGCCACACUGGAACUGAGACACGGUCCAGACUCCUACGGGAGGCAGCAGUAGGGAAUCUUCCGCAAUGGGCGAAAGCCUGACGGAGCAACGCCGCGUGAGUGAUGAAGGUCUUCGGAUCGUAAAACUCUGUUAUUAGGGAAGAACAAAUGUGUAAGUAACUAUGCACGUCUUGACGGUACCUAAUCAGAAAGCCACGGCUAACUACGUG